rnacentral:rRNA from 1 species
AAGCGCCCCGCCUGGGGAGUACGAUCGCAAGACUAAAACUCAAAGGAAUUGACGGGGCCCCGCACAAGCAGCGGAGCAUGCGGCUUAAUUCGACGCAACGCGAAGAACCUUACCAAGGCUUGACAUAUACAGGAAUAUGGCAGAGAUGUCAUAGCCGCAAGGUCUGUAUACAGGUGGUGCAUGGUUGUCGUCAGCUCGUGUCGUGAGAUGUUGGGUUAAGUCCCGCAACGAGCGCAACCCUCGUUCUGUGUUGCCAGCAUUUAGUUGGGGACUCACAGGAGACUGCCGGGGUUAACUCGGAGGAAGGUGGGGAUGACGUCAAAUCAUCAUGCCCCUUAUGUCUUGGGCUGCACGCAUGCUACAAUGGCUGGUACAAACGGCUGCGAUACCGCAAGGUGGAGCGAAUCCGAGAAAGCCAGUCUCAGUUCGGAUUGGGGUCUGCAACUCGACCCCAUGAAGUCGGAGUUGCUAGUAAUCGUAGAUCAGCAACGCUACGGUGAAUACGUUCCCGGGGCUUGUACACAUCGCCCGUCACAUCACGAAAG